GAUGAAGAACGUAGCGAAAUGCGAUAAGUAAUGUGAAUUGCAGAAUUCAGUGAAUCAUCGAAUCUUUGAACGCACCUUGCGCUCCUUGGUAUUCCGAGGAGCAUGCCUGUUUGAGUGUCAUGAAAUUCUCAACCUUUUCAGCUUUCUUUGUUGAUCAGGCUUGGAUGUGGGAGUAUGCGGGCUUCUCAGAAGUCGGCUCUCCUGAAAUGCAUUAGCGGGACCUUUGUUGCCUGGCUUUGGUGUGAUAAUUUUCUACGCCAUUGUAGUCAAGCAGCUUAAAAUGAGGUUUCAGCUUCUAACCGUCUCCCCUGAGACAACUUUUUGACAAUUUGACCUCAAAUCAGGUAGGACUACCCGCUGAACUUAAGCAUAUCAAUAAGCGGAGGA
rnacentral:misc_RNA from 1 species